ACCAGGGUAGCCUAGUGGACAUGGGAUCUACCCGCUAAGCAGAACACUGGGUUCGUUUCCUAUCCCUGGAU
rnacentral:tRNA from 1 species